rnacentral:rRNA from 1 species
UGCAGUCGAGCGGUAACAGGGGAGCUUGCUCCUGCUGACGAGCGGCGGACGGGUGAGUAACGCGUAGGAAUCUGCCUAGUAGAGGGGGACAACAUGUGGAAACGCAUGCUAAUACCGCAUACGCCCUGAGGGGGAAAGGAGGGGAUCACUUGUGACCUUUCGCUAUUAGAUGAGCCUGCGUGAGAUUAGCUAGUUGGUAGGGUAAAGGCCUACCAAGGCGACGAUCUCUAACUGGUCUGAGAGGAUGACCAGUCACACUGGGACUGAGACACGGCCCAGACUCCUACGGGAGGCAGCAGUGGGGAAUAUUGGACAAUGGGCGCAAGCCUGAUCCAGCCAUGCCGCGUGUGAAGAAGGCCUUAGGGUUGUAAAGCACUUUCAGGGGUGAGGAAGGGUAGUUUGUUAAUACCAAGCUACUUUGACGUUAGCCCCAGAAGAAGCACCGGCUAACUCUGUGCCAGCAGCCGCGGUAAUACAGAGGGUGCAAGCGUUAAUCGGAAUUACUGGGCGUAAAGCGCGCGUAGGUGGUUUGUUAAGUCUGAUGUGAAAUCCCAGGGCUCAACCUUGGAAUGGCACCAGAUACUGGCAGGCUAGAGUAUGG